rnacentral:rRNA from 1 species
GUUUGAUCCCGGCGGAGGCCACUGCCUAUUGGGAUUCCNUUAAGCCAUGCAAGUCCGAAUGAACCUAGUUCAUGGCAUACGGCUCAGUAACACGUGGAUAACUUUACCCUCAGGAACGGGAUAACUUUCGGAAACUGAAGAUAAUACUGGAUAUUAGGCUUAUGCCUGAAAUGGUUUACCUUUGAAAUGUAUUUUUUCGCCUAAGGAUAGAUCUGCGGCGGAUUAGGUCGUUGGUGGGGUCAAUGCCCCACCCAAGCCGAUGAUUCGGUACGGGUUGUGAGAGCAAGAGCCCGGAGAUGGAACCUGAGACAAGGUUCCAGACCCUAUCGCGGUGCAGCAGGUGCGAAACCUCCGCAAUGUACGCAAGUGCGACGGGGGGAUCCCAAGUGUUAUUCUUAACAGAAUAACUUUUCAUUAGUGUAAAAAGCUUUUAGAAUAAGAGCUGGGCAAGACCGGUGCCAGCCGCCGCGGUAACACCGGCAGCUCAAGUCGUAGCUGUUUUUAUUGGGCCUAAAGCGUUCGUAGCCGGUCUGAUAAGUCUUUGGUGAAAGCUUGUAGCUUAACUAUUAGAAUUGCUGAAGAUACUGUCAGACUUGAAGUCGGGAGAGGUUAGAGGUACUACCGGGGUAGGGGUGAAAUCCUAUAAUCCUGGGAGGACCACCUGUGGCGAAGGCGUCUAACUGGAACGAUCUUGACGGUGAGUAUCGAAAGCCAGGGGCGCGAACCGGAUUAGAUACCCGGGUAGUCCUGGCCGUAAAACGAUGUGGACUUGGUGUUGGAAUGGCCUCGAGUUGUUCCCGGUGCCGAAGGGAAGCUGUUAAAGUCCACCGCCUGGGAAGUACGGUCGCAAGACUGAAACUUAAAGGAAUUGGCGGGGGAGCACCACANCGCGGGGAGCCCGCGGUUUAAUUGGGAUUCAACGCCGGGAAAUCUCACCAGGAGCGACAGCAGAAUGGAUAAACCAGGGUGAAGGACCUUAUUUGACUAGCUAAAGGGACGGUGCAUGGCCCCCCUCCAGCCCGAACUGUGCCCCCUAAAGCGCCGGUUAAGUCAGGCAACGAGCGAG